AAUCAAGCGUCUUAAGGGCAUUCGGUGGAUGCCUUGGCGCGCAGAGGCGAUGAAGGACGUGGCACGCUGCGAUAAGCCAUGGGGAGCUGUGAGCAAGCUUUGAUCCGUGGAUUUCCGAAUGGGGAAACCCAACCCGCAAGGGUUAUCGUUACCUGAAUACAUAGGGUAACGAAGCGAACCCGGGGAACUGAAACAUCUCAGUACCCGGAGGAAAGGACAUCAACCGAGACUCCCGUAGUAGUGGCGAGCGAACCGGGACCAGGCCAGUGCUCUUGUGAAAUAAAGUCGAACGACCUGGAAAGGUCGGCCAUAGCGGGUGACAGCCCCGUAGACGUCAAACAGCAAGAGACUCGAGUAGGGCGGGACACGUGAAAUCCUGUCUGAACAUGGGGGGACCACCCUCCAAGCCUAAGUACUCCUUUGUGACCGAUAGCGUACAAGUACCGUGAGGGAAAGGUGAAAAGUACCCCGAUAAGGGGAGUGAAACAGUUCCUGAAACCGGAUGCCUACAAACAGUCGGAGCACCUAUAAGGUGUGACGGCGUACCUUUUGUAUAAUGGGUCAGCGAGUUUAUCUGUGGAGCAAGCUUAAGCCGAUAGGUGUAGGCGAAGGGAAACCGAGUCUGAAUAGGGCGAUGAGUUCCGCGGAUAAGACCCGAAACCGAGUGAUCUAGAUAUGGGCAGGUUGAAGACACCUUAACCGGUGUUGGAGGACCGAACCCACGCCUGUUGCAAAAGGCGGGGAUGACCUGUGUCUAGGGGUGAAAGGCUAAUCAAACUCGGAUAUAGCUGGUUCUCCGCGAAAUCUAUUGAGGUAGAGCGUCGUGUGAUGACCACGGGGGGUAGAGCACUGAAUAGGCUAGGGGGGCGCGAGCCUUACCAACCCUAAUCAAACUCCGAAUACCCGUGAGUUUAACACGGCAGACAGUCUGUGGGUGAUAAGGUCCAUGGACGAGAGGGAAACAGCCCUGACCGCCAGCUAAGGUCCCCAAUUCAUGGCUAAGUGGAAAAGGAAGUGGGGAG
rnacentral:rRNA from 1 species